UACGUAGGGUGCAAGCGUUGUCCGGAAUUAUUGGGCGUAAAGAGCUCGUAGGCGGUUUGUCGCGUCUGCUGUGAAAACUCGGGGCUUAACUCCGGGCCUGCAGUGGGUACGGGCAGACUAGAGUGCGGUAGGGGAGACUGGAAUUCCUGGUGUAGCGGUGAAAUGCGCAGAUAUCAGGAGGAACACCGGUGGCGAAGGCGGGUCUCUGGGCCUUACCUGACACUGAGGAGCGAAAGCGUGGGGAGCGAGCAGG
rnacentral:rRNA from 1 species